UGGGGAAUAUUGCGCAAUGGGGGGAACCCUGACGCAGCCAUGCCGCGUGAAUGAAGAAGGCCUUCGGGUUGUAAAGUUCUUUCGGUAAUGAGGAAGGGAUGUUGUUAAAUAGAUGGCAUCAUUGACGUUAAUUACAGAAGAAGCACCGGCUAACUCCGUGCCAGCAGCCGCGGUAAUACGGAGGGUGCGAGCGUUAAUCGGAAUAACUGGGCGUAAAGGGCACGCAGGCGGACUUUUAAGUGAGAUGUGAAAUCCCCGAGCUUAACUUGGGAAUUGCAUUUCAGACUGGGAGUCUAGAGUACUUUAGGGAGGGGUAGAAUUCCACGUGUAGCGGUGAAAUGCGUAGAGAUGUGGAGGAAUACCGAAGGCGAAGGCAGCCCCUUGGGAAUGUACUGACGCUCAUGUGCGAAAGCGUGGGGAGCAAACAGGAUUAGAUACCCUGGUAGUCCACGCUGUAAACGCUGUCGAUUUGGGGAUUGGGCUAUAUGCUUGGUGCCCGAAGCUAACGUGAUAAAUCGACCGCCUGGGGAGUACGGCCGCAAGGUUA
rnacentral:rRNA from 1 species